rnacentral:rRNA from 1 species
AGAUUAAGUUAUUAAGGGCGCACGGUGGAUGCCUUGGCACUAGAAGCCUACGAAGGACGUUACUAACGACGAUAUGCUUUGGGGAGCUGUAAGUAAGCUUUGAUCCAGAGAUUUCCGAAUGGGGAAACCCAACACGAGUUAUGUCGUGUUAUCGAUAUGUGAAUACAUAGCAUAUCUGAAGGCAGACGCGGGGAACUGAAACAUCUUAGUACCCGCAGGAAGAGAAAGAAAA